rnacentral:rRNA from 1 species
AUUGAACGCUGGCGGCAGGCUUAACACAUGCAAGUCGAACGAUGAUGAGUGCUUGCACUUUGAUUAGUGGCGAACGGGUGAGUAACACGUGAGUAACCUGCCUCAGACUCUGGGCUAACUCCGGGAAACCGGGGCUAAUACUGGGUAUGACAUCUCCUCGCAUGUGGGGGUGUGGACAGAUUUUUUGGUCUGGGAUGGGCUCGAGGCCUAUCAGCUUGUUGGUGGGGUGAUGGCCUACCAAGGCGAUGACGGGUAGCCGGCCUGAGAGGGAGACCGGCCACACUGGGACUGAGACACGGCCCAGACUCCUACGGGAGGCAGCAGUGGGGAAUAUUGCACAAUGGGCGCAAGCCUGAUGCAGCGACGCCGCGUGAGGGAUGACGGCCUUCGGGUUGUAAACCUCUUUCAGCAGGGAAGAAGCGUGAGUGACGGUACCUGCAGAAGAAGCGCCGGCUAACUACGUGCCAGCAGCCGCCGUAACAC